UACUAUAAAUUCCCCAAGAAUUAAAGUCAGAAACAGAAUCUUUUCUCUAAAAGAUUCUGUUUCUGACUUUAAUUCUUGGGGAAUUUAUAGU
rnacentral:pre_miRNA from 1 species